CCCGUUCGGGGACGUGGGACACAGGUGCUGCAUGGCUGUCGUCAGCUCGUGUCGUGAGAUGUUGGGUUAAGUCCCGCAACGAGCGCAACCCUCGCCUUUAGUUACCAUCAUUUAGUUGGGGACUCUAAAGGAACCGCCGGUGAUAAGCCGGAGGAAGGUGGGGAUGACGUCAAGUCCUCAUGGCCCUUACGCGCUGGGCUACACACGUGCUACAAUGGCGACUACAGUGGGCGGCAAUCCCGCGAGGGUGAGCUAAUCUCCAAAAGUCGUCUCAGUUCGGAUUGUUCUCUGCAACUCGAGAGCAUGAAGGCGGAAUCGCUAGUAAUCGCGGAUCAGCAUGCCGCGGUGAAUACGUUCCCAGGCCUUGUACACACCGCCCGUCACACCAUGGGAGUUGGAUUCACCCGAAGGCGUUGCGCUAACUCGCAAGAGAGGCAGGCGACCACGGUGGGUUUAGCGACUGGGGUGAAGUCGUAACAAGGUAGCCGUAGGGGAACCUGCGGCUGGAUCACCUCCUUU
rnacentral:rRNA from 1 species